UCUCAAAGAUUAAGCCAUGCAAGUCUAAGUACGAGCUCUCGUACAGUGAAACUGCGAAUGGCCCAUUAAAUCAGUUAUGGUUCAUUUGAUCGUACAGUUUACUUGGAUAACUGUGGUAAUUCUAGAGCUAAUACAUGCGAGAAGCGCCGACCUCGCGGGAGGCGUGCAUUUAUCAGACCAAAAACCGGCCGCGUCUUCGGGCGCGUUCGCCUUGGUGACUCUGGAUAACUUUGCGGAUCGCACGGUCUAGCACCGGCGACGGAUCAUUCAAGUGUCUGCCCUAUCAACUUUCGUCGGUACGGUAUUUGCCUACCGAGGUUCUUACGGGUGACGGGGAAUCAGGGUUCGAUUCCGGAGAGGGAGCCUGAGAAACGGCUACCACAUCCAAGGAAGGCAGCAGGCGCGCAAAUUACCCAUUCCCGACGCGGGGAGGUAGUGACGAAAA
rnacentral:ncRNA from 1 species